GCACGGAGUAAGACGUACAUAUUUGCCAUGUCAUUUUUUUUCUCUUGUCGAAUUAUAUUAUGACAUUCUGCAUGUAAAAACUGUAAGUGGUCUGCUACCAUUCGUUGUUGACAUUCAUGAAUCACCUUAGUAUAUGAACUUGGAUGUAGGUAUUUUCGACAUCGAAUUUCUUCAUCUUUUAAUCUACCUAGAACCUUUUCCAUAUACUGUGAGCAGUUUGAUUCUUGUAAUAAAUUUGAAGCUUCUUGUUUGUAAUACUCUCCUGUUUCAGUCAGAAAGGGAGACUCAAAAAUUUCCUGAUAAAACUUUAAGGGGAAUUUUUUCUUAUACUGUUCAACAUGAACAAAGGAGUUAAUAACCCCAUGGAUUACUUUCUGGUUUGGGUCUUC
rnacentral:lncRNA from 1 species